rnacentral:rRNA from 1 species
GCGCGAAAACUCCACAAUGUACGCAAGUACGAUGGGGUUACCUUGAGUGCAGUCUGAAAAAGGUUGCUUUUCCAUAGAGUAAUAUCCUAUGGGAAUAAGAGGGGGGCAAGACUGGUGUCAGCCGCCGCGGUAACACCAGCCCCUCGAGUGGUGGGGACUUUUAUUUGGCCUAAAGCGUCCGUAGCUGGCUGUUUCCGUCCCCCGUUAAAUCCAGCGUCUCAAGCGUUGGACUGCGGGUGAUACCAAACAGCUAGAGGGUGGGAGAGGUCAGCGGUAUUUCUGGGGUAGGGGCGAAAUCCUUUGAUCCCAGGAGGACCACCAGUGGCGAAGGCUGCUGACUAGAACACGCCUGACGGUCAGGGACGAAAGCUGGGGCAGCGAACCGG